rnacentral:SRP_RNA from 1 species
GCCAGGCGCGGUGGCACACACCUGUAGUCCCAGCUACUCGGGAGGCUGAGGCUGGAGGAUCUCUUGACCCCAGGAGUUCUGGACUGUAGUGCACUAUGCCGAUCGGGUGUCCGCACUAAGUUCGGCAUCAAUAUGGUGACCUCCCGGGAGCGGGGGACCACCAGGUUGCCUAAGGAGGCGUGAACCGGCCCAGGUCAGAAACGGAGCAGGUCAAAACUCCCGUGCUGAUCAGUAGUGGGAUCGCACCUGUGAAUAGCCACUGCACUCCAGCCUGGGCAACACAGUGAGACCCCGUCUCU